UUUCAUUCUGCUAGAAAAAAUACCUCUUUAGCAUGAAAACUGAAUUUUAAGGUAGGAUAUGGGACCAUUUCUUAUAAUGUAAGUCUAUGGAAAUAUCAAUGUGAGUGUCUGACCUAAAGAGAGGGAAAUUGGAACUGUCAUAAUUCACAGUAGUACUUUGUCUUCAUUGAUUACACCAUGAAAAGCUGAUAUUUUGGAAGAAUGGAUGUUUACAGCCUGUCUAGAUUUCAAAGAAAUGCUGUACAUUGGCUAUACACAUGCCAGGUUUGAAGACUUCAUGUAUAACUUGACAGGACCUGAUGUAAGCACAUUGGCCACUUUUGAUGGGUGUUGCAGAAUAUCCGGAAUGCGGCAUAACGGCGCUUGUUACAAAAAAGGGAACUUCAAAGUUUUAAAUGACUGAUGAAUGAUACUUUUAUAAUGUAAGU